GCCAUGCAUGUCUCAGUGCAGCCGUACGCGCUCGCGCGUCUAGGUGAAACCGCGAAAGGCUCAUUAAAUCAGUUAUGGUUCCUUGGAUCGUACCACUCAGUUACUUGGAUAACUGUGGUAAUUCUAGAGCUAAUACAUGCCGACAGAGUUCCGACCGCCUCGUGCGGGAGGAACGCUUUUAUUAGAUCAAAACCCAUCGGCGUGGCUUCGGCCACGCCGACAACACUCGGUCCCCUUCGCGGGGGCCGACCAAGUGGUGACUCUGAAUAACUUUGUGCUGAUCGCACGGUCUCAGUGCUGGCGAUGCAUCUUUCAAAUGUCUGCCUUAUCAACUGUCGAUGGUAGGUUAUGCGCCUACCAUGGUGGUAACGGGUGACGGGGGAUUAGGGUUCGAUCCCGGAGAGGGAGCCUGAGAAACGGCUACCACAUCCAAGGAAGGCAGCAGGCACGCAAAUUACCCACUCCCAGCUCAGGGGAGGUAGUGACGAAAUAUAACGAUACGGGACUCAUCCGAGGCCUCGUAAUCGGAAUGAGUACACUGUAAAACGUUUAACGAGGAUCCAUUGGAGGGCA
rnacentral:rRNA from 3 species